GUUAAAAAGCUCGUAGUUGGAUUUCUGCGUGAGCGGGGCGGCCGGCCACAAUAGUGGCCCGCGCUAGCUAUGUUCGCGCAUCCGGUCGGAAGCCGUACUACCAUUCAUUUGGUGGUGCCGGUGAACGGCCCGUUUACUUUGAGAAAAAUAGAGUGUUCAAAGCAGGCCAUUUGCCUUGAAUAAUUUAGCAUGGAAUAAUAAUAAAGGACUACGGUUCUAUUUUGUUGGUGUUCGGGACCGAAGUAAUGAUUGAUAGGGACAGUUGGGGGCGUCAGUAUUCCAAAGCGAGAGGUGAAAUUCUUAGACCUUCGGAAGACUAACCGCUGCGAAAGCGUUCGCCAAGGAUGUUCCCUUUGAUCAAGAACGAAAGUUGGGGGAUCGAAGACGAUCAGAUACCGUCGUAGUCUCAACUAUAAACUAUACCAGCUAGGGAUCGGCCAAUGUUGGUUACAUAGACUUGGUCGGCACCUUAUGAGAAAUCAAAGCAUCUGGGUUCCGGGGGGAGUAUGGUCGCAAGGCUGAAACUUAAAGGAAUUGACGGAAGGCACCACCAGGCGUGGAGCCUGUGGCUUAAUUUGACUCAACACGGGAAAACUUACCA
rnacentral:rRNA from 1 species